UACGUAGGGUGCAAGCGUUAAUCGGAAUUACUGGGCGUAAAGCGUGCGCAGGCGGUUGUGUAAGACAGAUGUGUAAUCCCCGGGCUCAACCUGGGAACUGCAUUUGUGACUGCACGGCUCGAGUGCGGCAGAGGGGGAUGGAAUUCCGCGUGUAGCAGUGAAAUGCGUAGAUAUGCGGAGGAACACCGAUGGCGAAGGCAAUCCCCUGGGCCUGCACUGACGCUCAUGCACGAAAGCGUGGGGAGCAAACAGG
rnacentral:rRNA from 1 species